rnacentral:rRNA from 1 species
CCUGGCUCAGAUUGAACGCUGGCGGCAUGCUUUACACAUGCAAGUCGAACGGCAGCACAGGUGCUUGCACCUGGUGGCGAGUGGCGAACGGGUGAGUAAUAUAUCGGAACGUACCCGGAAAUGGGGGAUAACGUAGCGAAAGCUACGCUAAUACCGCAUACGAUCUACGGAUGAAAGCGGGGGAUCGCAAGACCUCGCGCGAUUGGAGCGGCCGAUGGCAGAUUAGGUAGUUGGUGGGGUAAAGGCUCACCAAGCCUUCGAUCUGUAGCUGGUCUGAGAGGACGACCAGCCACACUGGGACUGAGACACGGCCCAGACUCCUACGGGAGGCAGCAGUGGGGAAUUUUGGACAAUGGGCGAAAGCCUGAUCCAGCCAUUCCGCGUGCAGGAUGAAGGCCCUCGGGUUGUAAACUGCUUUUGUACGGAACGAAACGGCCUUUUCUAAUACAGAGGGCUAAUGACGGUACCGUAAGAAUAAGCACCGGCUAACUACGUG